rnacentral:rRNA from 1 species
GACGUAGGGCGCGAGCGUUGUCCGGAUUUAUUGGGCGUAAAGAGCUCGUAGGCGGCUUGUUACGUCGGCUGUGAAAACCUGGGGCUCAACCCCGGGCCUGCAGCCGAUACGGGCAAACUAGAAUUCGGUAGGGGAGACUGGAAUUCCUGGUGUAGCGGUGAAAUGCGCAGAUAUCAGGAGGAACACCGGUGGCGAAGGCGGGUCUCUGGGCCGAUAUUGACGCUGAGGAGCGAAAGCGUGGGGAGCGAACAGG